GGAAAAUUUCCAGACCAACCAAUUCACAUCGUGUAUGUUCCUUCUCACCUCCAUCAUAUGCUCUUUGAACUGUUUAAGAAUGCAAUGCGGGCAACAGUUGAACACCAGGAAAAUCAGCCUUCCCUUACACCAGUUGAGGUUAUUGUUGUCUUGGGAAAAGAAGACCUUACCAUUAAGGUAACCAUUCUCUGUUUUUCUUUUGGGUGUCUCUUGAGAGAAUUAAAUAGGGUCAAUAGUAAUAAAGCUCUCUGCUUUUUGCAAUAGAUAACAGUCAUAUAUGCCAGGUGAUUUUUAAAUGAAGGAAAACCAUUUUUAUUUAGACAAAUGCACAUUGUUUUUAAUGUGUGGCUCUGAUGACUUGUUUGUUUUAGAUUUCAGAUAGAGGAGGUGGUGUUCCCCUGAGAAUUAUUGACCGC
rnacentral:sRNA from 1 species